rnacentral:lncRNA from 1 species
GGACAUCGUUGGGGACACAGGGACAUCAUUGGGGACUUUAUUAGGGACACGGGGACAUUGCUAGGGACGUGGGGAGGUUGUUUGGGGACAUGGGGACAUCGUUGGGGACUUCAUGAUGGGCAUGGGGACAUUGUUGGGGACAUGGGGACGUCAUUUGGGGACAGGGGGACAUCGUUAGGGACACGGGGACAUCAUUGGGGACAUCAUUAGGGACAUGGGGACACCAUUAAGAGAUGUGGGGACACUAUUAGGGACAUGGGGACAUCGUUGGGGACAUCAUUGGGGACAUGGGGACGUUGUUUGAGGGCAUGGGGACGUGGUUGGGGACAUCACUAUGGACAUGGGGACAUGGUUGGGGACGUGGGGACAUCAUUAGGGACGUGGGGACACCAUUAAGAGAUGUGGGGACACUGUUAGGGACAUGGGGACAUCCCUGGGGACAUCAUUAGGGACAUGGGGACACCAUUAAGGGAUGUGGGGACAUUGUCGGGGACAUGGGGACAUCAUUUGGGGACAUGGGGACAUUGUUGGGGAUAUGGGGACAUCAUUGGGGACAUCGUUAGGGACUUGGGGACACCAUUAAGGGACAUGGGGACAUUGUUGGGGACAUGAGAACGUCAUUUGGGGACAGGGGGACAUUGUUAGGGACACGGGGACAUCAUUGGGGACAUCAUUAGGGACAUGGGGACGUUGUUUGAGGGCAUGGGGACGUGGUUGGGGACGUGGGGACAUCAUUAGGGACAUGGGGACACCAUUAAGGGACAGGGGGACAUCGUUGGGGACAUCAUUAGGGACAUGGGGACACCAUUAAGGGACAGGGGGACAUUGCUGGGGACAUGGCGACAUCGUUGGGGACAUUGCUGGGGACGUGGGGACAUUGUUAGGGACACGGGGACAUCGUUGGGGACACAGGGUCAUUGCUGGGGACAUCGUUAGGGACACGGGGACAUCGUUGGGGACAUGGGGACAUCGUUAGGGUCGGGGGACAUUGUUGGGGACAUCAUUAGGGACAUGGGGACAUCCUUAGGGACACGGACACAGGGCACGGGGACGUCGGGGGGGGCGUGGGGACAUCGGCACGGGGACGUCACCCCUGGGGCGGGGACAGCCCGGGGGGGCCACCAGGGAGGUGACACCGACGGCGGCCUCGGCGUCACCCUGGGGCCCCGAUGUCCCCAACACCCCCAGUGUCCCCAACAAUCCCAGUGUCCCCAGUGUCCCCAGCACCCCCGGUGUCCCCAACACCCACGAAGUCACCAAACGUCCCCAUUGUCCCCGACAUCCCAAAUGUCCCCAGUAUCCUCCAUGUCCCCAGUGUCCCCGUUCCCCCUGGUGUCCCCACUGUCCCCAUUGCGCCCGCUGUCCCCA